AGAUGAACUUGUCAUUGAUCACAAAGAGCACUUAGUGUGUCCGUGUGGAUUCUUUACCUUCAAUAAAGAACAGUUAUAUCCUGGAUGCAAACGGCCAAAGACAGAAGCUUACAGGUAUUACACCAUACCAAUAAUUCCAAGACUUAAGCAGAUGCUCGAGGUGCCUUUAUCAGGGCUUUUGGGAAAGAAGAAGGGGAGUUUUGGGCCUUUCAUGGAGGACAUUCAUUCAACACCAGCGUGGCAUCGCUUUCAACAGCAGAUGGGAACAGAUCAAAGCAACCGGACUGUCGCUUUUAGUUAUUGUUCUGAUGGGUUUAACCCAUAUCACCAUCAAGCCACCUCAAGGCACUACAGCAUUUGGGCUCGGUCAGGAAUUAUCUUGAACCUACCAUCUGAAGUUAGAAUUAACCCACAAUCGAAUGCUGUUUGGAUUGAUAAGGGGACCCAGCACCCCUGCUAACAUUAAAGCUUUCAACCGCAUCUUAGUUGAUGAACUUGCCUAAUUGAAGGAAGGCGUGUUACUUGCUUACGACAGCUUAUCAAAGUCCUUGACGACACUGAAGGAUCGAGUAAUGAUGCUCGUCUGUGACAUCCCUGGUGCUGUGAAGGAAAAAAUAGAGUGACGUACAGUAGCAUGAAAGCUUGCCCUCGCUGUCACUUAGAAGGUGAGCAUAGCUCAAUACUUGACAGGGUGGUAUUUUUAGGCAGUCACAAGUUCCUUCCUGUUGACGAUAGUUUAAGACAUCAGAAAGCUUUUCCUUCUCGCAAAGAAGAGAGAGAGACCAUUCUCCUAAGGAAAAACCAAGAAGAGCUUGCAUACUCCAUGUGUCGCGACUCCUUUAAAGUGCACUGACUGACUGGGACGCGUUCAGCUAAAGACGCCUUACCCGCUGCUCCAUUAACCCUUUCUAAGGAGGAGGAAAAAGAGAAAGCCAAUGGAAGACUAAAGAUGGUCAAAGUCCCGAUAGACUUUGACGACAUGCCAACAACCCUGUUCACUAAAACCUAUGGCAUGAAGAGCCAUACACACAUGGAUGAAGAUCUUCACAACUGGAAUGCUAAGGUACAUUCUACGUGAUUGCCUUGGAACAAUUCAAAGACAUACAUUGUUUAUGUUCUUGAAGUGCCUCAAAGAACUACAUGAACACAAGACAGCUGUCCAUGUCAGCC